rnacentral:misc_RNA from 1 species
AGAAAAGGAAAAAAGAAGAAGGAAAGGAAAGAAAAAUAUAUCUAAUGAAAAGGAAGAUCCCCCUUUAUUCUCGGGAUUACUCAUAGUCAUUUUACGAAUUAAUUGGUGAUUGGGGAGUUCCCCCAAUUGGUUACAUCAUUUUCCGAGGAUUCAUCUUCUUGAAGGGAUGUGGAUCCCGUGUUGAGGCUAAUGGAUCCCAAGUAAAUAGUAAUGAUGAAUCCCUAUAGAUAAAGGCGACUCAAAAGAGAUAACAAAGAUGAACGAGGAUUCGCGUGAAGAAGUUCGUUCUCCAACGGGUCGUCCUCCAUCUUCGGGACCGGUCAGAAAGAGAUUAAAGCUCGAAGAAAUGGAAGAUGAGGAGGAAGAGCAUCGGCGUGAACUGUAUUUGGAGCGUCAGUCUCGACUGGAAAGCCUCAUCUCUUCUUAUCGAACGCAUAUGCUGGAGCUCCACAGCCUCACCUCUUCUUCUGAACCCUUCCAUCAAUAUCUGAAGUCAAGGAAGGCUCCAGAGUCUGUUCUCCUUCGAGUUGAGAAGGAUGCUCCUCCCAUCCCUUCUCCAGAGCUGGAGCUAGAGAUGGGGCAACAGCAAGCAGAGCCCUCAGUUCCUUCUCCACUAAGAACGGGAGCUUCGCCGACUCUCAUCCCUUCACCUAAAAUACGACGACGUCCAACCUACCAGCCUAAAGCCAAUUUCCUUUCCCCUGUCAAGUAUGGAGAGAAUCUUCUACGCACCACUCCCUACAUGGCCACACAAGACUCCACCUUUCCUCGUCUAGUUCGUUUCACUAAGGAACAGUUGGUGGAUAAAUGCAAGCAAGAAACAUGGGUCAUUAAGCGUGUUCAAGAUUUAAUUCGUGAAGGACUUUGGUCUAGUAAAAGACUUCCUAAAGUUGUUGAAAGGCAUAGGCCACGGGUGCAUUGGGACUCUUUAUUGAAUGAAAUGCAGUGGAUGGCAGCAGAUUUCCAUCAAGAAAAAAAGUGGAAAAAAGCAGCAGCUAAAAUGCUAGCAUACUCAGCCAAGGAAUACGUUGAAAAGUUGCAGGCCAAACGUCAGUUACUCAAAGAAAAUGAAGAAUUUCGCAUCAGGCGCAUUGCUAGUUUUAUUGCUAGUGAAGUAAGGUCCUUUUGGAUACGAAUUUCUCAGUUAUCUGAAGUAAAACUUAGACGGCAACAACGGAUUAUGCAGCAUCAAAUGCUGGAACAACAAUUGGCUUACGUUACACAAUCUGAAGAAAAACAUCAGAGAGAUGACUUUCCUGUGGAAGGAUCAAGCAAAGAUAAUAAUUGUGAGCUAAUGAGUGAAAAUGGUGUCAAUACGGAUGAUGAAGAUGAUGAUGAUACUAAGGAAAUUUAUUCAUCGUCAACAUCAGAUGAUGAUGAUGAAUCCACGAUAUUAGAACAAGAACUAUAUGAACAACGUCAAGAGGAAGAAAAAAAUAAGUUAUUUUGUUGUUCUAAAAGUGGCCAUGAAGUGGAACUCACAAAACUGUUAUCAGACUCACAGACACCUUUAUCUCAGAUAUUAAGAUCAGAUUAUCCUGGUGUAUUAUCCGAGUACCUGGAUCUAUACGAUCAAUUAAUUCAAGAUGAACAAGCUGAAUUCUCAUCAUCAGAUGAAGCAACCUCUUCUGAAGACGAGGGUGAUGAGCUUGAGCUUAUGACACCUCCUGAAAGUGGCAAUUCAUUGGAGAUAUCAUUAGACUCUCUCCUAUCUAAAAAUGAUACAUCGAACUCAAUUAAUAAUUUACGAAUCCGUGAUAUUCAAACGUUAGCUGAAGAAGCAGAUCGACAUAAACCCCUCAAGUCUUCACUUCGUCAACUCGAAGUUCCGCAUCAAAAGGUAAUACCUUUUAUUCGUGGAGAUUUGAGAGAUUAUCAAAGAAUUGGUGUUGAUUGGCUUAUAUCUAUGCAUAAGAGUAAAAUUAGUGGAGCCAUAGCCGAUGAACCAGGAUUAGGGAGAAAAAUAAUGAUCGUCGCUUUUCUUUCGUGGUUGUCUUCUAGCGAUAUGUGUAGGAAGCCACAUUUAAUAAUUACACCAGUAUCUUCAAUGUCAAGCUGGUCAAGUACAUUAAAGAGGUGGUGUCCUUCUUUGAAUGUUCAAAAAUAUGAUGGCUCUGAAAAUCUUAGAAGAUCUCUUAGAAAAUGUUGGAGGUCUAAUCAAAUUAUAUUGACAUCUUAUAGAGUAUUUUUUGGCGAUUCACAUCACUUCUUGAAACGAUUUUGGAAUUAUUUAAUUUUACAUGAAGCCCAAAAUCUUGGACGUGUUAGUCAAAUGACAUCUAUACUUGAUUUAAAAAGUCACCUUAGACUCUCUGUGUUAGAUGGGCAUUUACCUUCUAAUCCUAUCGAUUUGUGGAAUAUUCUCUACUUGCUGCAACCCAAGACUUAUGCAUUGCAUCAAGAAAUUGAAUCUAGGACAUUUGUUGAAGGAACUGAAGAAUACGCCGAAACAGUCAAGAAAUUACAUGCUAUUAUUAGUCCAUUCCUUCUAAGGAGAACACGAUCUCAGGUUGAAAGACAACUGCCGUUACCUGAGGAAAAAGUGUAUAUACUGGAAAUGAUGCCUAAGCAACGUCGUUUAUACGAUGACUUCUUGGCUACUUCUGAUACUCGAUCUACUCUACAAACAGGCGAUCCUGUCGCAGUAUCAAAUGUUCUUAAAAAACUACGGUUAAUAUGUGAUCAUCCAUCUCUCGUUUGUGAAGGAAGGCCACAAAGUCCUAUUUGCUUCCCUUUAAUUCAACCUUCAGUCCCUAAGCUCAUCGAAUCUGCAAUUCAGUAUGAUCCCUUCAAAAAUGUUGACUUGAAUUCUAUGAAUUUUGUAUUCUUUACCCAUGAAACGACUCUUACCGUUAUAAUAAGUGAUAGAAUUCGAAAGUCUAGAGCAUCUAAAUCCCUCAUUGAAGAGUUACCACUUAAGUCUGAUUCUUUAAACUUGCCUCCAAGUGUUCCAAGUGGAAGAUUGACACUAGAGUUCCAAACAUCCAGUAAUUCUUGUAAUUCAUCCUCUACUAGAACUUCUCAAAAUUCUUUUUCAAGCACUAAUAGCAGUAGUCCACAUAUAUUACUUUCAGCUUCAGUUAUAAAAUCUCUAAAAUCUACUGUUAAUAGUAAGGCAUUUCUACCUCCAUCAAACUCUUCAAAUAGUGUUCCCAGCUCUCUUGGGGCUUUUCAUAAAGAGUCCUUGAGGGUUAUUGCAACAUUUAAUGAGCGACGCUGCAUGGGACUACCUUUGUAUGGUAAAGACCUCGUUGAUAUUUUAACGAUAGUUACAUCCAUGAGACCCUGUAAAUCUAUGUUCCGUGGUAUGGGGCUCGUUAAUUGUGUGACUGCUUUUGAGGGAGCAGAAUCUCGGAUUAAAGAUAAAAAUCAUUUUCGAUAUCAAACUCAAGGCCUACGAUCUUUAGUUAAUGCAUCGAAUGUCGCCUUCAAGCAAAUUCAUUCUGAAAGUACCAUUAUUUCAAAAAUCUUAUGCUACACAUCUCCAGUUAUCCUAUUUCCCCAAAGUGUUCCUCGUUCAGUUUUAGAUAAUGAUUUGAACACUCGCUUAUUACAUUCCGUCAAUGAAAAACCAAAUUUAAUUUCUUAUCGAAGUCAACUCAUAUGGAACCUCCCGCCCUCCGCAAAAUUGAAUAAGCUGAAUGAAAUAAUAAUAGAUGCAGUCAAAAGAAAGGAACAUGUGGCUAUAUUUUGUGAAGUUAAGGAAAUGAGGGACUUAAUACAGAUCUAUCUAAGACACAAGUUUUAUUCCUACACUGUUUUAGAGCCUGAGAAUUCCUUUGAAUGCAACUCUGAAAGUUUACUCUCUUAUAAUAUGUCUGAUGUAUUUAUUUUACUUACAUCCACUCGAACAAGUGCUAUUGGACUUAAUGUAUCAUCUUUAAAUAUCAAAAAUAUUGUUCUGUAUGAUUCAAGUUGGGAUCAUGACGGAUUCAGGUCAAAUCCAUGGGUACAAGGAAUUACUCGCUCUCCUGGUGUUGUAAUUCAUAGACUCUUAUGUAAAGGGUCAGUGGAAGAAAGUAUUUCGAGAAAAUCUGUGCAAAAGAAAAUUGCAGCAGAUCUUGAAAUUUCUUGUGACAGUCCUGAAAUAUCUUGUUCUACUAUCGAGGAUUUAUUUUCUACUAAUCUGCGGGAAAAUGGGACUCUCAAUCAUCAAAACAUUGCUUUAGAUGAAGAGUCAAGAUCUAGAGAGAAAUUAAGGAUGCUAUCGAAAGAAUUGCCACAUUUUAGAGUUGACACCGACAAUCAUGAACCUAACUCUCUAACUUUAGAUAGAUUAUGGUCAUCAAACGAUUCUAAUGAUAUAAUCAAAUCAAUAGUUGUAGACCUAGCUGAGCUGGACCCUGGUUGUGUAGAUAGUUCGUCCUUUCAAGAAAUCAUUAGCCAUCUUGACAUUUCUACUCACAAAAUAUUUGAUAACCUGAAGCCCAUUGAAAGAUUCGGAAUGGUUAAGCAAUCGAGUUCUGAUUGUUGUUAUUUGCCUCGUUUUUAUGAAGAGUCCGAUGAUUUUUCAUUGAGAAAUCGCAUUGAGUGGGAAAAACGACAUCAUACUAAGUUGAUGGAAUUUGAAGAAGAGGUUAACAAGCUGGAGACAAUGACUAUGCUUACUUAUAGUGUAGAUGACGCAAACAGGGCCUGGUAUGGCUCUACUGGACAGCCUAUGCCUCUUUGGCCAGCUCCUUCUCCCACUAAUGGAACUGCUCCUGCUAUUGAAGGAAUCAUCAAUAAUAAUGAUCUCAUUGAAUUCCAUCUUUCUUUUUGGUACGCGACUGAUCGUGUAAUGGAAGAUCAUGAACUUCCUCCAGUAUACGUUAAGAAAGAAUCCCUUAAGAGAACAUCAUUUGAAGCAGGGAUUUCUGGAGGAGCGGAUUCAGGUCUACCCGAAAUAAAACCCAAAAUGAAAAAAGAUGAAUCUUCAGCUCAUGCUCCGAGAUCACUUUUUGAUCGACCUACUCCUGCUUUGUUAAAGGCUCGUAAGGAUAUGCGUAUAAAUAAAUUUCGUAGCGGAACUUCAGUCAGUAUAUCGCAUGGAUCGUCAGGAGUGUCCGCCAAUAAUACAUCCAGUAGUACUACUCCAGUCAAUUCAGCUGUUGCAGGAAUUCGCACGCCAUUGCCUCGUACACAAGUUGAAGCUGAAAAUACUCCAGAAUGGUUAAUUCAAGAAGAUUGGGCUCUUCACCAAGCAGUUGAAGAUCUUCUAGAAUUACCGUUAAAUCUCACAGUUCUACAUCCUGGCCACACGCCCAAUUGGGACAUGGUCGCGGAUAUGGUUAAUUCUGUGAGUCGAAUAUAUCGUGGUCCUAGACAAUGUAAAAAUCGAUAUGAGUCUAUAAUUGUCCCAAGGGAGGAAGGUCGUAUUCUUUACGACAUCAUCCCACCUUCCAUUUCAUCAACACCUUCCAAUGUUGUCAAUAACGGUUCGAGUCCCCUAAGUUCAUCAAAAAAAUCUAAGAAGAGCAAAAACCUUCUUAAGAUGAUGCCUUCAAAAUCAUCAUCAUCAAAUAAUAAUAGACCCAUGAAAACAUCGCAACUUUAUUUACAAGAUAGUAACAAUAAAUGGACACUAUUAUAUCGUUCUCGUUUUGAAAAUAUCAAAUCAGUUGCGAACAAACGAACUCCUACAGCGAAGCCCUUGCUUGUUAAUCCAACUCAAAAGAAUCCCAAGCAUGCAGCGGUUCUAGCAGAGUCUGGAAUUACUUAUGACCUUCCUUUUAAUCCGAUAAUUGUUGCGCAAAAUCGUGCAGAUCGUCUUCAAAGGGAAAAACAAAAGUCCCAACAGCAACAACAACACGAUUUAACACAGCAGCGCAUUGCAUCCGCUCAAGCAGCAGCUAAUGCAGCUCAGCAGUCUGCUGCUGCAACAGCAGCCCGUGUUGUCAACGCUCAAGGUUCAGCCUCUUCUGGACAGCAACAACAGACUGUUGUAGUUGGUAUUAGUCAGCAUCCUCAAGGAGUAUCUGCUGCUCAAACUGCAGCAGUUGCUCGAGUUCAACAGCAGCAGCAACAACAACAACAGCAGCAACAACAAUUGCAAGAAAUGGUAAGAAGUAGUAAUGCCACGGUGGUAGUAACAAGUCCUUCAACAGUGGUUACUCUGGCAAGUUUCAAUCGUCUUCAGGCAGCUCAAAAAGUGAUAAGUCAAGGUGGAGCAGUUGCAGGUAGGCCUCUCACACCCCACCAAGUGAAUCUUCUUCGACAACAAGCAAUUCUUAAUAAUAGCAAAUCUGAACUAAGUGCUGCACAAAAAUUAAGAAUGCAACAACACCAGAGUGUUGGAGGGGUAACUGGAGUAAAUUCUUUAGGGUCAAAGGUAUCUGUAGCAAUGGCUCCUAGUGGAACACUCCAGGCUGCGGGAAUGACAGUUGUUACUCAAGCUGGAAAUCUAUCCAAAAACCCACAGAUCCGACAAUUGACGACUGCUACUGCUGGAGGCUCCAAAACGACUAAUGUUCGAGCCAUGACGGAGCAGGAUAUGAAAAUAUUGGUGGCUAAACAGCAACAACUUCAGGCUACUGGGAAAGUUCAAAUCCCUGGCAAUGUCACUGCUGCUCAACUUUUUGCUCAAGCUGGUAUUAAAGUUCAAGAAGGAGGUGGGGGACAGUCAGUCGCCACUUUAGUUAAGACUGUAUCUGCCAUCGGUCAAGGAGGUCAAGUCACAAUUCCUGUUCAGUCAGUUCCUCAUGUCAAGGCCGCUCUUGCUCGUGGACAACAAAUGCAGAUGAAACUGUUGCAACAACAAUUGCUUCAAAGAAAGACGGUAGGAGCAGGGACCUCUUCUACUGGAGGGCCAUCGUCAGGACAACCUCAACGAGUCGCUAUUGGUGGGGGAAAAGGACUCCCUACGCAGCUUAUAGUACAGAAAAAUGUUCCCCACCAAGCCGUGACUGUUCAGCAAAUUUUAAAAGGAGCAACGCCUCAUGCAGUUCUGACUAAACAGGGACAAGGACAACCCAUCCAAGCACGUGUUAUUCCUGCAUCCUCUACUGGGCGCAAUCCUCAGACUAUUCAAGUUGUAGCAGCGUCAUCUGGACGUGGUUCAGUUCAAGGAGGACACAUAAAAGUUGCAGCCUCAUCGGUUGCAAGUAGUCAGCAAAUACUUAACCAAGUUUCAGCUGCUUUAGGCCAGCCAGUUUCAAUGGCUGUACGUACCUCAGAUGGAGCCCCUGUUUCCGUAGCUCUUCGUUCCACUCCUACUCCAGUUCAACAAGCGAAAGCUAUUAUCACAUCCACAGCCAAUCUUAAUUCACCUUCAUCAACAGGGGGAACAACCUCGUCUUCUACGACUCCUUCCUCUGGGAUUAAUAAAGACAGCAAAUAAUCAUUAUUAUUAUUAUUACAAAAACUACUACUACUACUACUACUAUUAUAACUAUUAUUUUGAAAUUGUCAUAUUUCGCAAGCAAAGCUGAACUCUGUUAUCGUGACUUUUUUUAAUAUAUAUUUUUGUUGCGUUUUUUGCAUCUUUUUUAUUAUUCAUUCAAAACCAAAAAAGGCCACUUUCCCCAUCCCCUUAUUUUCUUUCUUAUUUUAAGAUAAAAAAAUCUGAUUCUUUACACAGCAUAUUUUUUUAGAGAAUCGCUAUACACAAAAAAAAUUACAAAAGUAACUUAGAAAAUCUAAUAAAAAGUGCCAAUCUUUAUAUUGUAUUAUUAUGCCCUACUUAUUUCCCAAUGUUCUUUAUUUUGUCUUCUUAAAAGUGUAGAAAGAAAGAAAAAUCACAAUGAAUCGAUGAGAAUGAUAAUGUUUAUUUGUUUGUUUGUAUUCUUCUCCUUGGGGAAAAAAAGAAAAAAAAAUACUUAAAGAAAGAACAUAUAUAUUUUUAUUAUUAUCAUUAUACCUAUAUAUAUAUAUUUAAUUAUAUACAUGUUCAACUUAUUAUCUAUACUAUAUAUGUAUAUAUAUAUAUCCUUAUAGUAUACAUAUAUAUUCAUGUCAUAUUUAUUCGAUUCUUUGAGUAUGUUGAUUGGCAGAUUUAAUAAUUCAUUAAUUAUACAGAAUAGUUAUUAUUUCAUACAAACGUUUACUGCUAAUGAUAUUAUUCGAGUUAAAAAAAAAUAUCGGAAAAUAAAAGUACAAAUUAUUUUUUUUUAUCAUUAAGUUAUGCUGAUGAUAUUUUGAUGGUUUCAAAACAAUAGUAAAUAAUAAUAAUAUUAUAAGGACCACUACACACAUUUAGAGUUCACUUCUUACCCUUGCAACCCUCCCUCUUGUACUCCCCUCCCUUAUUUUAAAACUUUUUCUCCUUUCUAGAAAAAAUGUUAUCCUCUUAAAAGUGUGAAUUCUGUGCGAAAACUGAACAAAAUCUCCUCUGAAGCUGCUCUUUCUAUACCAGCCACAUUUCUACCUAAUUGCCCUCUUCCUCCUCUUCUACACACUGACGAUGUAUGCUUUUAUUUUUACAGGUUAGGGUGAGUGAAGAAGAUUCUCCAAUUUCAGUCUUUUUAUAUUUUUUUUAUUUAUCCAGUCGUAGAAUUUUUUAAUUUUCUGUUCUAAGAAAAAAAAUGACUUAGCUCUGUACACAAAAAAUCUUUUGAUUAUAACUACCUAUAACGUUUUAUUAUUAUAAUUACCAUUAUUUUUAUUAAUUAUAGAUAUCCCAUACUUGUUGUAAAUGUGAUAUAGAAAUUGAACUGAUUUUUAAAGUAGGAAAAAAAACACAAUCCAUUUUCAUCUCUUUAAAACAAACGCUUAAACACUCAAAUGUUAAAAUAAAAAAAAAUAUUUAUGUAGUUAA